rnacentral:rRNA from 1 species
GCUUGUCUCAAAGAUUAAGCCAUGCAUGUCUAAGUACAAGCCUCAGUAAGGUGAAACCGCGAAUGGCUCAUUAAAUCACACCUAAUCUACUGGAAAGUUACUAGUUACUUGGAUAACUGAGGUAAUUCUUGAGCUAAUACAUGCGAAAAAUCUCGACUCACGGAGAGAUGCUUUUAUUAGAUCAAAACCAAACGGCUUCGGCCGUCUCAUUGGUGACUCUGAAUAACUUUGGGCUGAUCGUAUGGCCUUGUGCCGACGACGUUUCCUUCGAAGGUGUGCCCUAUCAACUGUCGACUGUGAUAUAGACGCUCACAGUGGUUUUGACGGGUAACGGGGAAUCAGGGUUCGAUUCCGGAGAGGGAGCCUUAAAAACGGCUACCACAUCCAAGGAAGGCAGCAGG